GAAGCAUAUCAAUAAGCGGAGGAAAAGAAACCAACAGGGAUUGCCCCAGUAACGGCGAGUGAAGCGGCAACAGCUCAAAUUUGAAAUCUGGCCCCAGGCCCGAGUUGUAAUUUGCAGAGGAUGCUUUUGGCGCGGUGCCUUCCGAGUUCCCUGGAACGGGACGCCAUAGAGGGUGAGAGCCCCGUACGGUUGGACACCAAGUCUUUGUAAAGCUCCUUCGACGAGUCGAGUAGUUUGGGAAUGCUGCUCAAAAUGGGAGGUAUAUUUCUUCUAAAGCUAAAUAUUGGCCAGAGACCGAUAGCGCACAAGUAGAGUGAUCGAAAGAUGAAAAGCACUUUGAAAAGAGGGUUAAACAGCACGUGAAAUUGUUAAAAGGGAAGCGCUUAUGACCAGACUUGCGCCCGGUGAAUCACCCAGCUCUCGCGGCUGGGGCACUUUGCCGGCUCAGGCCAGCAUCAGCUCGCUGUCGGGGACAAAAGCUUCGGGAACGUAGCUCUCUUCGGGGAGUGUUAUAGCCCGUUGCACAAUACCCUUCGGCGGGCUGAGGUACGCGCUCCGCAAGGAUGCUGGCGUAAUGGUCAUCAGCGACCCGUCUUGAAACACGGACCAAGGAGUCAACCUUAUGUGCGAGUGUUUGGGUGUCAAACCCCUACGCGUAAUGAAAGUGAACGCAGGUGAGAGCUUCGGCGCAUCAUCGACCGAUCCUGAUGUUCUCGGAUGGAUUUGAGUAAGAGCAUAUAGGGUUGGACCCGAAAGAAGGUGAACUAUGCGUGUAUAGGGUGAAGCCAGAGGAAACUCUGGUGGAGGCUCGCAGCGGUUCUGACGUGCAAAUCGAUCGUCAAAUAUGCGCAUGGGGGCGAAAGACUAAUCGAACCUUCUAGUAGCUGGUUUCCGCCGAA
rnacentral:rRNA from 1 species